CCCUUAGAUGUUCUGGGCUGCACGCGCGCUACACUGAAGCUAUCAACACGUUUUCCCUCCCUGAGAAGGGCGGGUAACCUUUUGAAUCAGCUUCGUGGUAGGGAUCGGGGCUUGCAAGUGUUCCCCGUGAACCAGGAAUUCCUAGUAGACGCGAGUCAUAAGCUCGCAUCGAUUAAGUCCCUGCCCUUUGUACACACCGCCCGUCGCUACUACCGAUUGAACGUUUUAGUGAGGCAUUUGGACCGACGCAUCUCAGUUUAACCGCUGGUUUGUGUUGGAAAGACUUCCAAACUUGAGCGUUUAGAGGAAGUAAAAGUCGUAACA
rnacentral:rRNA from 1 species